rnacentral:rRNA from 1 species
GACGAACGCUGGCGGCGUGCUUAACACAUGCAAGUCGAACGAAGAGCGAUGGAAGCUUGCUUCUAUCAAUCUUAGUGGCGAACGGGUGAGUAACGCGUAAUCAACCUGCCCUUCAGAGGGGGACAACAGUUGGAAACGACUGCUAAUACCGCAUACGAUCUAAUCUCGGCAUCGAGGAUAGAUGAAAGGUGGCCUCUACAUGUAAGCUAUCACUGAAGGAGGGGAUUGCGUCUGAUUAGCUAGUUGGAGGGGUAACGGCCUACCAAGGCGAUGAUCAGUAGCCCGUCUGAGAGGAUGAACGGCCACAUUGGGACUGAGACACGGCCCAGACUCCUACGGGAGGCAGCAGUGGGGAAUCUUCCGCAAUGGACGAAAGUCUGACGGAGCAACGCCGCGUGAGUGAUGACGGCCCUCGGGUUGUAAAGCUCUGUUAAUCGGGACGAAAGGCCUUCUUGCGAAUAGUGAGAAGGAUUGACGGUACCGGAAUAGAAAGCCACGGCUAACUACGUG